AUGGUGUGUACUGGUCUUUCCGUCCUUCCUUCUGGUUUUGCUGCCUUCUGCUCUUAACUGAACGGGAGGUUUAGCUCCAGAUCUUUUACUUUGAAAAAAUUAGAGUGUUCAAAGCAGGUACCAAAACUUUUACGCCUUGUAUACAAUACCCUGGGAUAAUAUAAUAGGACAUCGCUCUUUAUUUUUGUUGGUUUCUAAUAGCGGCGUAAUGAUUAAUACAGAUGGUUGGGGACAUUCGUAAUUGAAUGUCACACGAGAAAUUCUUGGAUUUAUCAAAAAUGAACUCCUGCCAAAGCAUUUAUCAUAGAAGCUUACAUUAAACAAGAAACAAAGCUACGGGAUCGAACACCAACACAUACCGUCCUAGUCGGAGCCAUGAACCUUGGCGACCACAGAUCAGGAGACCCUGCAUGGAUGACUCCCCUGGGAUCACGCUAGAAAUAACUGAUCUAUGGGUUCUAGGGGGAGUAUGGUCGCAAGGCUGAAACUUAAUCGAAUUGACGUAAGGGCCACCACAGAGUGAGCCUGCGGCUUAAUUUGACCUCAACACGGCGAAACUUACCAGGUCCAGACAUAGUAAGGAUUGACAGAUUGAGAGCUCUUCUUGAUUCUAUGGGUGGUGGUGCAUGGCCGUUCUUAGCUGGGUGGAGUGAUUUGUCUGGUGAAAGGAAUUUGCCAGUAAAAGGUGCACUUGUGUGGGUGGGUAUAGAUGCUCACACAGGUUACUAGCAUCUAGUCUACACUCUUUG
rnacentral:rRNA from 1 species